rnacentral:rRNA from 1 species
GCGGCGGACGGGUGAGUAACGCGUGAGCAACCUUUCCCAGACAGGGGAAUAACACACCGAAAGGUGUACUAAUACCGCAUAAGACCACGGUUUCACAUGGAACUGAGGUAAAAGAUUUAUCGGUUUGGGGUGGGCUCGCGUCCGAUUAGGUAGUUGGUGAGGUAACGGCCCACCAAGCCGACGAUCGGUAGCCGACCUGAGAGGGUGAACGGCCACACUGGAACUGAGACACGGUCCAGACUCC